rnacentral:rRNA from 1 species
GAUGAACGUUGGCGGCGUGCCUAACACAUGCAAGUCGAACGGAAAUAGCAAUAUUUGAGUGGCGCACGGGUGAGUAACACGUAGCUAAUCUACCUCAAAGCGCGGGAUAACGUGUCGAAAGACAGGCUAAUACCGCAUAAGCUCCCGAUCUGUAGAGGAUUGGGAGAAAAGGCGUAAGUCACUUUGAGAUGAGGCUGCGGCCCAUCAGCUAGUUGGUGCGGUAAUGGCGUACCAAGGCGACGACGGGUAGGGGACCUGAGAGGGUGACCCCCCAACUGGGACUGAGACACGGCCCAGACUCCUACGGGAGGCAGCAGUGAGGAAUAUUGCACAAUGGGCGAAAGCCUGAUGCAGCGACGCCGCGUGGGUGAAGAAGGUUUUCGGAUCGUAAAACCCUUUUCUGUGUGACGAGCAAGGACGGUAGCACAGGAAUAAGGUCUCGGCUAACUACGUG